rfam:Hordeum vulgare subsp. vulgare, WGS project CAJW01000000 data, contig: morex_contig_1592404
UAGGUACUACCUCCGUCCGGAAAUAAUUGUCCUAAAGAUGAAAGUAUGUAGAUUUAUUUUAAUUAUAAAUACAUCCAUUAUAUGCAUUUUUAGGACAAGUAUUUCCAGACGGAGGAAGUAUUAC